AAUAUCUGGGGGGGGUGCUGCUUCUUGCUUUGGCCAGGGCCUGGUGGAAACACCUGGAAAGGCCAAGGAAAAAGUUUAACAAAAUUUGUUUUCUAUGCCUGCAUGGCAAGAUCUGAGACCAUAAUAUUGUUAAUUUUACAAAUUUAGUAGUAAGAAUAAUCAAAUAUGAAACUAUCAAAUCAAAAUAUAUAUAAUUUGUGGGGGUGCAAAAACUUUGGGGGGCAGUGCCAAAUGCCUCUGGGGGGGGGGGGUGCAAAUCAUUUCUGGGGGUACACCCCCCCCCCAGAAAAUCCGUGCCUGGCAAGAAUGUUAUGUGUACAUAAUCAUGUGUAAUGUUGUUUGGAUUAAUUGCAUUUAAACGUUGGAAUCCAGUGUCAAACAGUAACCACAACAAUUAUUAUAUAAAGUAUUUGGUUGUUUUAGUGUAAUAUUAAUUUCUCACAUAUUUUUUUCAGAAAUAAAGCACCAUUGAGCAACUUGUUGGGAAAGAGGAGUCACAAACUGUUGAUGAAUAUAUUUAAUUAA
rnacentral:lncRNA from 1 species